AGAGGGUGCGAGCGUUAAUCGGAAUCACUGGGCGUAAAGCGUGCGUAGGUGGUUGUAAUAAGUUGGCUGUGAAAGCCCCGGGCUUAACCUGGGAAUGCCAGCCAAAACUAUUUGAUAGAGUACAGUAGAGGGAAGUGGAAUUUCCGGUGUAGCGGUGAAAUGCGUAGAUAUCGGAAAGAACACCAGUGGCGAAGGCGUCUUCCUGGACUGAUACUGACACUGAGGCACGAAAGCGUGGGGAGCAAACAGGGAUUAGAUACCCUGGUAGUCCACGCCGUAAACGAUGAGAACUAGCCCGUUGGAAACUUUAAGUUUUAGUGGCGCAGCUAACGCGAUAAGUUCUCCGCCUGGGGAGUACGGCCGCAAGGUUA
rnacentral:rRNA from 1 species